rnacentral:tRNA from 1 species
GGGACGUAGCUCAGUCUGGCAGAGCAACGGACUGUAGAUCCGUGGGUUGGGGGUUCAAUCGCUUUGAGACUCCCCCA